rnacentral:rRNA from 1 species
UUAAGCGACUAAGCGUACACGGUGGAUGCCCUGGCAGUCAGAGGCGAUGAAGGGCGUGCUAAUCUGCGAUAAGCGCCGGUAAGGUGAUAUGAACCGUUAUAACCGGCGAUACCCGAAUGGGGAAACCCAGUGUGAUUCGUCACACUAUCGUUAACUGAAUCCAUAGGUUAAUGAGGCGAACCGGGGGAACUGAAACAUCUAAGUACCCCGAGGAAAAGAAAUCAACCGAGAUUCCCCCAGUAGCGGCGAGCGAACGGGGAGGAGCCCAGAGCCUGAAUCAGCAUGUGUGUUAGUGGAAGCGUCUGGAAAGGCGCGCGAUACAGGGUGACAGCCCCGUACACAAAAGCGCAUGUGCUGUGAGCUCGAUGAGUAGGGCGGGACACGUGGUAUCCUGUCUGAAUAUGGGGGGACCAUCCUCCAAGGCUAAAUACUCCUGACUGACCGAUAGUGAACCAGUACCGUGAGGGAAAGGCGAAAAGAACCCCGGCGAGGGGAGUGAAAAAGAACCUGAAACCGUGUACGUACAAGCAGUGGGAGCCCCACCACUAAGCCAGUGGUGAACUCCACAUACGCAUCCUUUGCUGAGGAUACGGUUAACGGAGCGAAAGCGACGUUCAACCUCAAAACAAGCAGAGGGGGCUUAGUGGUGGGGUGACUGCGUACCUUUUGUAUAAUGGGUCAGCGACUUAUAUUCUGUAGCAAGGUUAACCGAAUAGGGGAGCCGGAGGGAAACCGAGUCUUAAUUGGGCGUUAAGUUGCAGGGUAUAGACCCGAAACCCGGUGAUCUAGCCAUGGGCAGGUUGAAGGUUGGGUAACACUAACUGGAGGACCGAACCGACUAAUGUUGAAAAAUUAGCGGAUGACCUGUGGCUGGGGGUGAAAGGCCAAUCAAACCGGGAGAUAGCUGGUUCUCCCCGAAAGCUAUUUAGGUAGCGCCUCGUGAAUUCAUCUCCGGGGGUAGAGCACUGUUUCGGCUAGGGGGCCAUCCCGGCUUACCAACCCGAUGCAAACUGCGAAUACCGGAGAAUGUUAUCACGGGAGACACACGGCGGGUGCUAACGUCCGUCGUGAAGAGGGAAACAACCCAGACCGCCAGCUAAGGUCCCAAAGUCAUGGUUAAGUGGGAAACGAUGUGGGAAGGCCCAGACAGCCAGGAUGUUGGCUUAGAAGCAGCCAUCAUUUAAAGAAAGCGUAAUAGCUCACUGGUCGAGUCGGCCUGCGCGGAAGAUGUAACGGGGCUAAAUCAUGCACCGAAGCUGCGGCAGCGACACUGUGUGUUGUUGGGUAGGGGAGCGUUCUGUAAGCCUGUGAAGGUGGCCUGUGAGGGUUGCUGGAGGUAUCAGAAGUGCGAAUGCUGACAUAAGUAACGAUAAAGCGGGUGAAAAGCCCGCUCGCCGGAAGACCAAGGGUUCCUGUCCAACGUUAAUCGGGGCAGGGUGAGUCGACCCCUAAGGCGAGGCCGAAAGGCGUAGUCGAUGGGAAACGGGUUAAUAUUCCCGUACUUGGUGUUACUGCGAAGGGGGGACGGAGAAGGCUAUGUUGGCCGGGCGACGGUUGUCCCGGUUUAAGCGUGUAGGUGUGUGUUCCAGGUAAAUCCGGUUCACUUUAACACUGAGGCGUGAUGACGAGGCACUACGGUGCUGAAGCAACAAAUGCCCUGCUUCCAGGAAAAGCCUCUAAGCAUCAGGUAACAUCAAAUCGUACCCCAAACCGACACAGGUGGUCAGGUAGAGAAUACCAAGGCGCUUGAGAGAACUCGGGUGAAGGAACUAGGCAAAAUGGUGCCGUAACUUCGGGAGAAGGCACGCUGACACGUAGGUGAAGUGAUUUACUCACGGAGCUGAAGUCAGUCGAAGAUACCAGCUGGCUGCAACUGUUUAUUAAAAACACAGCACUGUGCAAACACGAAAGUGGACGUAUACGGUGUGACGCCUGCCCGGUGCCGGAAGGUUAAUUGAUGGGGUCAGCGCAAGCGAAGCUCCUGAUCGAAGCCCCGGUAAACGGCGGCCGUAACUAUAACGGUCCUAAGGUAGCGAAAUUCCUUGUCGGGUAAGUUCCGACCUGCACGAAUGGCGUAAUGAUGGCCAGGCUGUCUCCACCCGAGACUCAGUGAAAUUGAACUCGCUGUGAAGAUGCAGUGUACCCGCGGCAAGACGGAAAGACCCCGUGAACCUUUACUAUAGCUUGACACUGAACAUUGAGCCUUGAUGUGUAGGAUAGGUGGGAGGCUUUGAAGUGUGGACGCCAGUCUGCAUGGAGCCGACCUUGAAAUACCACCCUUUAAUGUUUGAUGUUCUAACGUGGACCCGUAAUCCGGGUUGCGGACAGUGUCUGGUGGGUAGUUUGACUGGGGCGGUCUCCUCCUAAAGAGUAACGGAGGAGCACGAAGGUUGGCUAAUCCUGGUCGGACAUCAGGAGGUUAGUGCAAUGGCAUAAGCCAGCUUGACUGCGAGCGUGACGGCGCGAGCAGGUGCGAAAGCAGGUCAUAGUGAUCCGGUGGUUCUGAAUGGAAGGGCCAUCGCUCAACGGAUAAAAGGUACUCCGGGGAUAACAGGCUGAUACCGCCCAAGAGUUCAUAUCGACGGCGGUGUUUGGCACCUCGAUGUCGGCUCAUCACAUCCUGGGGCUGAAGUAGGUCCCAAGGGUAUGGCUGUUCGCCAUUUAAAGUGGUACGCGAGCUGGGUUUAGAACGUCGUGAGACAGUUCGGUCCCUAUCUGCCGUGGGCGCUGGAGAACUGAGGGGGGCUGCUCCUAGUACGAGAGGACCGGAGUGGACGCAUCACUGGUGUUCGGGUUGUCAUGCCAAUGGCACUGCCCGGUAGCUAAAUGCGGAAGAGAUAAGUGCUGAAAGCAUCUAAGCACGAAACUUGCCCCGAGAUGAGUUCUCCCUGAGACUUAAAGUCUCCUGAAGGAACGUUGAAGACGACGACGUUGAUAGGCCGGGUGUGUAAGCGCAGCGAUGCGUUGAGCUAACCGGUACUAAUGAACCGUGAGGCUUAACCUU